AGUAGAGUAAGAGGGAGUUAGAGUAGACAGCUGAAUGAAAAUAUCCACAAAACAUGCAAAAAAUAGUAAAUACUCCACAUGAAAACAUAACCACAAUGUAAGUACUGCCCAAAACAAGAAUAAUUGGAGAAGAUCUUGAUGUUUAGAAAAAGAAAAGAGAAUUGAAAAAGAGGCUAUAUGCUCAGAUGAACAAACACAGACUUAUGAGAACUCAAUGCAGUUACUGAAAUGCAAGCCUAGCAAAAUGAUGUCCAUCAGGUCAGGAAGAAUUGGAAGUGAGUAAGCAAUGACAAUAAAUAUGGAGUAUCAGAAGGUGAUUGGAUUUAAUAAACCUGGACAUCUCAACACUA